UUUACUUUGCAGAAUUAAAAUUGUGUAAUAGGUUUUUUUUUCCUUUUACCCAUUUCAGUGUAUCAAAAAUCACUUGUACCUUUUUGAGAAAUACAUUUAUUAAUGAUUACAGAUUAUUAUGAUUCAUUUAACAGUUUCUUACUUUUGGUAAAUAUUUGGAUUGCUUCAUACAAUUUAGACAAAUUCAGAUGUUGAAAACAGGCUAGAGGAUAGGAAUACUUCUUUACUAGUUACUGGCACAGGCCUGUAUUGUUGCUUCAUAACUAUACUGUGUUUCAAAUGUCUGGAGCCACGCACACCUGGAACCUGGAAUAGUUGAGUGAGGCAGUGAAUGAAUGAAGUGAAGCAUGACAAUCCUGGUAUCCAACAGGGCGCUGACAUGCGGUCAUCCAAUAAGUGUUCAUAAAAUGAAUGAGUGAACUCCAAAGAAUGCAUUAAAACAUACUUAGCCAUAGCUGGAAUAUGCCAGGAGGCUGGUUCUAAAACAUGAUUUACUUCUUGCCGGUGCAAGAAGCCAAGCUCUAUUGCCUACAAAUACUUGACAAAGUGAGGGCUAACGGCAUAAUUUGCUCUCAGUAAGGUUUCAGGAAAUUAAUUGUUCCAUUUCUUAAAGACCUUUUCUGUGUAAUAAUUAAAGAAAAACCCUCUGCCAUAGCAAUUAUCUGUAAUUACUAAUGAAAACAGGUGUCUCAAAUGCCUUUUCAAAUUGAGACAUGAAUGGUUCAUUAUCGUCACAGGCAACUACCAAUAUCUAAUUUUCAAUGAGAUGCUGAGAUCAAACACGAGGUGGAGGAUGGUCAGGGAACACAGACGGAGAAGCUGCUUGUUAGAGGGAGCUUGGCAGAGGGCAGGUUUGACAAGCACCCAUUUAAGAGCAGGGAACAGAAAAAAAAAGAGCAGGGAACAGCACAGGAAGGCAGCAUACAGUGUAGGGCUGAAGGAGAGUGUGGAGCAGAGCAGUGUGGAGGGUAAAAGCUCCCUCACUGCACACUCCUCUCUAAGAGUAAGGACUCAAGCUGCUGUCUCCAUCUCUCUACUGAGUAACUGAGAAAAAGUAAAGAUUUUAGCUUUAGGCCUCUACCCGUAUCAUCCAGGUCAUGGGGCAGCAACUGAUGGACUUGAUGGAAAGGGGUUAGCAGUACCCAGCUUGUGCCUGGAGGUCAAGGUUAAUGAGGUCCUUUUCCAGCCUGUCAACUCAUUUUUCCUUCAGUUUUCCUCUGCUCUUAAUUUUCAUGGAUUCGCAGUGAUAGGGCUACGAAUCUAAGUGCCACAGAACCCUACUCUCUGCACAUCCCUCUCUAAAUUUUGUCCUAGUGGAUGCUGGGAGUCUUACAAGCCAGUUCAUGAAGCAGAAAGGUGGCAGCAGGACUUUCAGAGGCACAGCAGCCUGGCUGGUUCAGAAUGUGGUACCUAAAUGUUUGGGAAAUGACCAUGUUUGGAGAGGACUGCACCCCCUGCCUCUUAGUUUUAAUUAGAUACAGUGAGAUGCAGUCAGUGUCUUCUGGAGCCCUGUGUUCUUUAGUGACACCAUGGUAUGCUCUAGAGAAGCAACUGUGGGUCUCCAUUCACUGGUAGAGGUGCAGCUUGGCACUGAAUGAUGAUUUCCACAGAACACAAGCUCCUGAAUCUAUUCUCAUUAGAAGCUUCCCACUAUAUACAGCAUUUGAGAAGAUCAUACAUUUUUUUCUCUCUUCCCUGGACAACUAAAGUUAGUGAAAGUCAUUCAGACCCUGGACCUUUCUAAAUCCAUCUGGCCACAGAACUUCUUUUAGAUCUAAGAGCUAUUAAUACUCCACCAAGCCUUCUCUCUCUCUCUCUCUCUCUCUCUCUCUCUCUCUCUCUCUCUCUCCCUUUCUUUCUUCAUGCACUUAUUCUUUAGUUGUAUUAUGAUAUAUGUGUGUAUAUUUCUUUGUGUGCUAUAUCCCUGUAUGUAUAUAUGUCCCUGUACAUAUGCACAUGUGUGCAAGGUUGUAUGUAUAUGUAUGGAGGUCAAAAGUCAGUAUCAAGUGCCUUAUUCACCUACUGUUACCUUUAGAUUUUGAGUCAGAGCCUCUUACUGAACCUGGAGCUCAUUGCUUUGGCUAGACUGACUGGCCAAGUAAGUUUUAGGGAUUGGCCUAUCUCUGUGCCCUGAAUGUUGGAAUAACAGAUCUACAUUGCUACACUUGACUUUUUAGGAGGGCACAGGGAAUUUGAACCCAGGUCCUCUUGCUCGAAUGGCAAGCCCUUGCCAAUUGAGCCAUGUUCUCAGUUACUUGGGGCAGGUUUAUAAGUGUUGCCGUAUAGUUCUGUUUCUCUUCCAUUUCUCCAUCAAGUUUUGAGUUCUUCCGGGUGCCAGGAGCAUGUUAAUGAGAAACUAAGGCAAAGGGAAGUUUUGGUAUUGUCCAUUCAUUUAGCCAUCCUUUUCCCCAGCAGCUGAGUUUAAAAAGAUUUCGAUUUCCAGAAGCCUCACCUGGAUUCCAUUUUAAGAUACCAGAUAGAACACUAGGCAAACAAUUGAGCUUGAAUUUCAGAAAGAGGGUGACUCAGCUUUUAGGUCACAUUGCAUCAUGUUUCUGUCUGCUAGUGGAAAACCUGAACACUGCAGAGCAUGUGUACUCCAAGACCUGUCAAUCAGGCAAUCAAAGCCUUUGGCUCAUGUUGUGUGUACCAGAUGUUGGAAACCUACCCAAGCCAGGCCAAUCAGAGAACUCCCUAUGCAAUUUCCAUUCAGUGUAGGAGGAGAGGCUUCAUUUUUUGUGUCACAGAGCUGAGAGGGACCGGGACAACAGUGUUUGCCUUCACGUGGGUAGACUGUGUGGAAGAUGACGAUAAGGCUGCCCCUUCUGAAAGCUAAAGACAAGAAGAGACAGGACACUUACACCUAAAUGGUGUCCCUGGGUCCACUCCUCAAUGAAAGCAGCCAUAUCUUUAACUUGCCAGAACCAGCAGCCAGGAGCCAGUUAUCUGCUUUUUGCAGAUUUUUCCCCCUUGAGCUAAUUUGAGUUGCAAUAAAUAAAUAAAGCAUAUCUGGCACUCAUUCACUGCCACAGUGUUUUGCUGUCGCUUGACACUUAGCAGCUACUCUAUGCCAAGGCUUAUGCCAAGAGAAAUUGCAUUAGUUUUGCCCUGGUCCUGAAGGCUCCUCUCAACAUGGCCUUGAGCUUCACUUACAAUGAACUCAUGAGGCCAAUACUCCUCUGGGGUCCUUUCCUCCAACCUCAAGAACCCUGCACCUUGGCAUGAUGUGUUGCUGGAUUGCUGGCAUUUGAGUUUAAACAGUGUUCGGAGACGCCAUAUACUUCAGCACAAACACACGAGAAGUGGUUUUGCUGCAUUCCCACUCUCUUAUCCAGCAGCUGUCAGUGUAUCAACAGGAGGCUCUUGCUCAGGGUGCUUCCUAUCCUGGAAGGCUUAGCAUUGGGAGAACUGUCUGACCACAGCAUGAGAACAGAGUCAUGAGGGGUUCUCUCUCUGGUAUUGUGGAUUGGAGUCUCAGUCUUCUCAGCUUAGGACCCUGCACAUUUUAUAAGGAUGCAUAGUGGCUUGUAGAGAAGGCCACCUACUCAAUUAUAGAUACUCCCUUUGACUUCAGUGACUGUAGUGCUUCUUGCUUUGCAAGCAUGAGGACAUGGGCUUAACCCCACAGACCCCAAGUAGCAAAAAGCAGGGCUUGGUGGGAUUACAAGGGCUUAUAAUGUCAGUGUUGGGGAGCACACAAAGGUGGUUUCCUCGAACUUUCUGUCCAGCCAGCCAUUCUUACCUAGAAAGUUCUAGGUGAAAGAGAGACCCUGCCUCAAAAAUCAAAGUAAACAACAUUGAGUUACAAGACACAUGUGCAGACAUAGCGACAUCACACAUAUGCACACACAUAUACAUGCAAAGGCUUAGGAAUUUGUGUCUGUGGAAGAGUCACUUAAAACUGGAGUUUUCUCUGUGCUCGUGUGUGUGUGUGUGUGUGUGUGUGUGUGUGUGUGUGUGUGUGUGUGUGUUUGAUUUAGAGAGAUAAAGCAAGGAGAAGUAAUAUUAAAACAAAGUCUUCAUGUUUAUUGGAGAUAGAUGGCGCUGUCAUCUCUCCAGCUCUCCCUGUUUUCAACAUGUCAGAAGGCCAGAUGUGACUUAUUGCUGAAUAUUACUGUAGGUGUGAAUCAGGAGUUUUUCACUACCGUGGAACUCUGAACAAAGAUGUCUAAAUUUUGUUUAAAAGGUGGUGGUUUCUCAAACUCUCUUCCUUCCAUGGAGUCCCUGGAGACGUUCACCUUGUCUCUGUGUGUUUAAGGGUAGAAACUAAGUUCAGCUAGGAUCCACUUCCUGUUCCCUCUUAAAAUUGGCUUCUGGAUAUUAACACAAAUAUCUGGACCCACAGUUAAGAAAAUGUGAGGCAGCCAGCCAGUCAGCUGUGCCUAGCCUCCUACAGUGAUGGGUUCAGGAAUGGCCAUAAGACAUAAGCUGAUCCAAUCAUAGGAAGUUUUAGAUCUCUGAUGGAAACCCGAACCACUGGGCUCUUUGCUGUGCCUUGCAGACAGUCUGCUGCUGUGGGGGAAGUCAUCCUGCUCAUAUGUUGCUAGAACUGUAGAGACGUGGAACGUCAAUACUACAAACCAAUGAUGGUUUUGAUCUUCAGGAAAGAACACCUGAAAUACACCCAUAGCCUGGACUUGCCUGUUGCAGGAGUAAAAACAAGCAAAGCCACCAGGAAAGAUGUGCACCUUUCAACUGAGCAGUCGGGAGGCUGAGACAGGGAGAAACCAGCCUGCAACCAGUCUGGGUCACACAAUCACGUCAGCUGUCCAUCCAUGGACUGAAACCUUUGGAAACGUGAGCUGAGUUCUGGUCCCUCCAUUUAAGUAAUUCCUCCCAGCACGAGAUGGGAAGCCCUGCCGUUCUUCUGAGUCACUGAGGGAUUUGGAUAUUAUUGGAUAUUUACAAGGAUGCUUGAUUUUAUUAGUACCUCAAAGGCCACACAAUCAACAGUCACAUGACGCAUGCAGGCUACAUGAACUGGAAUCUUGGAAGAAUGAUCCUCCAGGCGGAAGUACAGAACGAGAAGCAGAAAAGAGCCUGUCCCAAAGCCUGUCCGGGCUGGAACAGCACAGAGCUCAAGUUCACCUACCACUGGCUUCCUCCUUGACUGUCAGCCAGAAGUUCAGCAGCCAGGGAGACAGGGUCAUCUCCAUGGAGACCAGAAGAGCCAGGUUUCAGUGAUGGGAUCUGACAAGAUGACUACAGGAAGUCCUGCCUUCAAAAUCACCAUAGCGCCCUGUAAUCCCACCUCCAGCUCCUCAUCUGAAUGGCAUGAGGAAGGCUUGUACAAGGUAAUUGGCGAGCCCUCUUUCUGUCUGCAUGGCAUGUGUUGAGGAAGAGGCAAGUCUGGUCUCUGUGCAAACAGAAGGCAUGUAUUCCUCACCAUGGGUUUGAAGGAGAACUGAAGCUCUUCCCGUCCAGAUUGACCUGUACUUUCUGUUGUUUAUUUGGACCGAGAAUUAGCUUUGGACACAUCUACAGCAUGGAGUGAUUCCAUGCAGAGCUACAGACGACUUUUUAAUCAUCCUGUCAUGUAAUUAAGGGAUAAAAUAGGUCACAGGCAACCGAUGGAAAAGGGAAAAAAUAGGUUAUUCUCUUCAAUGAAGGCCACAUGUCUACAGCAUAAUCCUGGCGGGUUCUUGGGGUUUAUUUUUCCACUUUUGGUUUCGUUUUUUUUUUUUGUUUGUCUGUUUAUUUGGUUGUUUUUGGGACAGGAGAUAAUGCAGAUGGGCAUCAUUACAUAUUCAGAACCUGUAGACUGUGUUCAGUGCAGUGAUUCUGUUAUAUGACCCUUCCUUGGGAGGUAUGAAUAAACAUUUUUCUUCCCACA